rnacentral:rRNA from 1 species
AGCGUUGCUCGGAAUCACUGGGCGUAAAGCGCACGUAGGCGGCUUUCUAAGUCAGGGGUGAAAUCCUGGAGCUCAACUCCAGAACUGCCUUUGAUACUGGCGAUCUUGAGUCCGGGAGAGGUGAGUGGAACUGCGAGUGUAG